CCUACGGGUGGCAGCAGUAGGGAAUAUUGCUCAAUGGGCGAAAGCCUGAAGCAGCAACGCCGCGUGAGGGAUGAAGGUCUUCGGAUUGUAAACCCCUUUUGUUAGGGAAGAAAAUGCGGGUAACUAACGACGAAGCACCUGGUCAAACCGUACCAGCAGCCGCGGUAAUACGGCGGGUGCAAGCGUUACUCGGAAUCUAUGGGCGUAAAGAGGGCGUAGGCGGGAUAGUAAGUCUCAUGUGAAAUCCGAUGGCUUAACCAUAGAACGGCGUUUGAAACUGGUAUUCUAGAGUAGGGGAGAGGUAGGUGGAAUUCGUGGUGUAGGGGUGAAAUGCGUAGAGAUCAAGAGGAACACUGAUUGCGAAGGCGGCAUGCUGGAACAUAACUGACGCUGAUGCGCGAAAGCGUGGGGAGCGAACAGGAUUAGAUACCCCAGUAGUC
rnacentral:rRNA from 1 species